AUACGUAGGGGGCUAGCGUUAUCCGGAGUUACUGGGCGUAAAGGGUGCGUAGGUGGUUUCUUAAGUCAGAAGUGAAGGGCUACGGCUCAACCGUAGUAAGCUUUUGAAACUAAGAGACUUGAGUGCAGGAGAGGAGAGUAGAAUUCAUAGUGUAGCGGUGAAAUGCGUAGAUAUUAGGAGGAAUACCAGUUGCGAAGGCGGCUCUCUGGACUGUAACUGACACUGAGGCACGAAAGCGUGGGGAGCAAACAGGAUUAGAUACCCUGGUAGUCCACGCCGUAAACGAUAAGUACUAGCUGUCGGGGGUUACCCCCCUCGGUGGCGCAGCUAACGCAUUAAGUACUCCGCCUGGGAAGUACGCUCGCAAGAGUGAAACUCAAAUGAAUUGGCGGGG
rnacentral:rRNA from 1 species